rnacentral:rRNA from 1 species
CCUACGGGAGGCAGCAGUGAGGAAUAUUGGUCAAUGGACGAGAGUCUGAACCAGCCAAGCAGCGUGAAGGAUGACUGCCCUAUGGGUUGUAAACCUCUUUUGUCUGGGAAUAAAAUGUUCCACGUGUGGGAGUCUGCAUGUACCAUAUGAAUAAGGAUCGGCUAACUCCGUGCCAGCAGCCGCGGUAAUACGGAGGAUCCGAGCGUUAUCCGGAUUUAUUGGGGUUAAAGGGUGCGUAGGUGGAUCGUUAAGUCAGUUGUGAAAGUUUGCGGCUCAACCGCAAAAUUGCAGUUGAAACUGGCAGUCUUGAGUGCAGUAGAGGUAGGCGGAAUUCGUGGUGUAGCGGUGAAAUGCGUAGAUAUCACGAAGAACUCCGAUUGCGAAGGCAGCUCACUGGACUGCAACUGACGCUGAGGCUCGAAAGUGUGGGGAUCAAACAGGAUUAGAUACCCGAGUAGUC